UCUCUGGUGGCUCAGUGGUAAAGAAUCUGCCUGCCAAUGCAGGAGACGCAGGUUCGAUCCCUGCGUUGGGAA
rnacentral:tRNA from 1 species